UUCAGGCGUCAGUGUUUAUCCUAACUCUGGAGGCUGAGGCGGAGGGGAGGAGAGGAGGCUGAAGAAGCGUGCCGUUUCAGCCACAGGCUUGCCCACCUACCUCCCCACGCCCAGCAGCACUCUUUCCUGUCCCCUCACCUGUCGUGGGCGCAGAGCUUCGGUGUCCAGUGACCUCUUGGUUUUCGCUCCGCGAGCUGUCCCGACGGCGGGUGCCUCCGGAGGCAGAGAAGGAGGCGGCGGGGUCGGGGGCGUCAGCGGGAAUCCUGGCAGCCACUAGCAGCCGCGGUCUCCCUACCCAUCCUGGCGGGGCUCGGGCAGCGGACGCGGCGCGGUCACCGGGGGCGGAUGAGUCAGGCGAGGGGGCUCGGACCCGGGGGCGCGCCGCUGCUUGUACCCGCCCGGGGCUGCGGGGUCGCCGGCCGCCGCCAUCGGGCGCGCAGAGUCCAAGCGUUCCUGCCCUCCGAGGGCGCGGGCACCGAGGGCAGCGAGCGAGGCAGGGGCAAGGGACCACUGCUCAGGCGUUGCCGCCGCUUCCAAGAAAGACAAAAGGCAGCUGGCAUUUGAACCCAAGGCUAUUGAACUGAUAAAUUCUGAGGCACAGAACCCCCUUUAAACAGAGGGCCACCUGUGUCUGAGCAGGUCUCUUAUCAGUGUGUUUCCACCAAGAGUUCUCAGAAGAGUGUCACCUCUGCCUAGAGACGGUUCAAAGACACCUAUAAUCUAUUUGCCACUCCCGAUGGUGGACUCCAUCCAAGCAGGUGAAGGCUUUUGUAGAAAAGACUGAAGGCUCCAGAAGGGUACAACUUCUAUCUCCAGACUGUCUUUGGACUCAAGACUGUAACCUUGACUCUAGCUGAGAUCUCCCAUCUGCUGGCAUCCUGCCCUACAAACUUCAGACUUGCCUGCCUCCAAAGUCAGGUAAAC
rnacentral:lncRNA from 1 species